rnacentral:rRNA from 1 species
UAGCUAGUUGGUGGGGUAAGGGCCUACCAAGGCGACGAUCGGUAGCUGGUCUGAGAGGAUGGCCAGCCACACUGGAACUGAGACACGGUCCAGACUCCUACGGGAGGCAGCAGUGGGGAAUAUUGGACAAUGGGGGCAACCCUGAUCCAGCAAUGCCGCGUGUGUGAAGAAGGCCUGAGGGUUGUAAAGCGCUUUCAGUGGGGAGGAGGUUUGAUGUGUGAAUAGCAUGUUGAAUGGACGUUACCCACAGAAGAAGCACCGGCUAACUCCGUGCCAGCAGCCGCGGUAAUACGGAGGGUGCGAGCGUUAAUCGGAAUUACUGGGCGUAAAGGGUGCGUAGGUGGUUAAUUAAGUUAUCUGUGAAAGCCCUGGGCUUAACCUGGGAAGGCCAGAUGAGACUGAUAGACUGGAGUAUGGGAGAGGGUAGUGGAAUUUCCGGUGUAGCGGUGAAAUGCGUAGAGAUCGGAAGGAACACCAGUGGCGAAGGCGGCUACCUGGCCUAAUACUGACACUGAGGCACGAAAGCGUGGGGAGCAAACAGGAUUAGAUACCCUGGUAGUCCACGCUGUAAACGAUGUCAACUAGCUGUUGGUCAUAUUGAUAUGAUUAGUGGCGC